rnacentral:lncRNA from 12 species
CCCUGUCCUUCAGAAUCAGGAGCAUCACUGAGUCCUUGUGGGAGCAGCUCGGUCUGGGAGUGUUUAAUUCAGGAAUGAAAUGCCUUUCCAUGGAUGGAAUCCUCACCCCACACUCAACAGCCAGAGCUCUGCUCCAGAUGGGGAAUGUCAAACACCUCACAAGCCAGUGGAAAAUGAAGCUAAAGGAUAAGAAGAGUGGUUUUAUGGACUAACAAC